GUACAGGGCAGAGACCAUAGAUAUAGAUAUGAAGCAUUGACGGGACAUAUAGUUCUACCUGACGUCUCAAUAGCUCCGCCGUUUUACGUGGGACCAGUUCGGAAAAGUCAAGCCACUUACACUAGUCAUGGUUGUAUUUUGUGCAGCAGUAACUUGGUCCAGAAAAAUGAUUAACGAUACAAAGGAGGUGAGAAACAUUGUUCCCGCAUCAGUAAUUAGUGUAGAAAUGUAUAACAUACUUAACUUUACAUACCAUGAACAAGAACGCUAAUCCAGCCUAACCGUAGCUGUUGAGCUACGUAACUUUGCAGUAUCAUAAUUCUUUGUUUUUUAAAUCACCGGUCUCAGCUAGAUUGCUAUAUUAUAAUAUGAAUUAACGUUGCACACAACGUAUGUGAAAUAACGCGUUUUCAUCAAUAAAAGGAAUUACUGUGUAUAAUCAGCAGAUGGCGAUGUUGGGUUGCCUUUGUCCACAAAAAGUAGACUUGUUUCUCCCAUUUCUGUCCAAUUACUAUGCUGUUAGCCUACCAAAUUCAGUGAGCCAGUAUGCUCCGUUUAGCACAUUCUUACAAAAAUAGUGAUUUCUAUAAUGAAAUGAAAAUAUUCAUAUGUAUAUACAAACAUAUUAUAAUUUUAAAUCACAGGUAAUUGUUGUAGUGCAAAUGUAUAUUAAUUUAAGUACUAUCCUGCACCUUCCUACAUUAGACCAUAGCCAUUUUGCACUUAAAUUAAUAAAUGACUAAAAACUUUCAAAUUAAUUUGUUUAUAUUCUGAAAAGUAGUUAUUUUAUGCAUUGUGUUAUGCAUAACAGUGGCUAUUUAUAUAUUAUUAAGGAAAUGUAAUUGUUAUAAGAACUGAAAUGCCAUUUCUACCAUGUGUUUGUAUUGUACAUUGUGUAGAACAGGUCCCAGGUAAGAUGGCGGUCUAAUUGCUCCAUUCUGAUUUAUAGGGGCUCUAUGACAUAAGCCCAUCUACUUUUCUAUUAUCUAUGGCAGAGACACUACAGAACCUGUAUAAAGACAAGGAUCACAUUGGGUGAGAUCAGUCAUUUGAGUAACUAAUGUCAUGCUGAUAUCAUUUGUAUUUUUGUGAUAAUUAAUCCAAUUUCUAAUCCAUAUUUAUUUUGUCAGAUAUGUCAACUGGCUAAGGAAGCAGACAUCCAGGAAACCUGGGGACCCUAUAGAAGCAGCCCUUAAAUACAUAAGGCACCCUGACUAGGAGGCAGCUACACCCCUUUCUCCACUUGCUGGUAUUAAGACGCUUCAGAGUAAAUAUUAGUAUUAGUAAAGAUGACCUGUUAAUUCAUCUAAUAAAGUAUAAUGUUACUUUAUUCCCCACUGUUUGCUUGGUGUUAAAGGCCUCUUGGUGCAGCAGUGGUCCCAGUGUUUUUGGGGCAGUGUUCAGUGGACAACUGCAUUCAACAGCGAGGAAGAUCCUUGCCCCAAAGACUGCAGUUCCUAGUAUCUUCAUAUUGGAGAAUUGCAAGAAACAUUAUAAUGAGCUCUUGAUGACUAAGACCACAUUUAACACACAUUUCUAUGUGUGAAGAGGAGGCUGCCCCAUGGCAGUCUUUCCUGCCUCCAAGGCCUGCACAUGCAAGUCCAGAGCUGCUGCAUCCUGAGAGCUGGCGGGCAUGUCUGAACAAAGAGCAGCAGCAGAUCGGCCGUACACUGUUCACCAGGAGUAGCACUGGGAGAUAUAAAAUUACCAGAGUUGGUCUGUGGUGGUACCCUCCCCAACCUUGGCUGACCUACAAUCAGCCACCUGAGUCGCCUGACCCCUUCUUUGCAUGUCCGCUGUUCCUCUACAUACAUGGUCAUUCAAGCUGGCACGCACCCGGCCUGGGUGUAACACUCUUCUCACCAAGGCUGGGCUUUACAAGACCAUCCAGAGAGUCUUGGAUGUCAAGGGCUAGUACCCCAUGGCCACGGAGUGUCUGCGUUCUUCCACCACAUUACAUGUGAAUUCAUUGGUGUUGAGUACCUGUACACCCAGACCAACAAAGUGCUGCAGGAAGUCAACCGGACCCCGACACUCCAGAUGAGGCUGAUGCUGUCGAGGGACCCCUGGAGGAUGAGGGCUUUGAGGAGACAGGAUAAGGACGCCACCACCCCAGCCUCGCUGCCGGCCUCGUUCUCCACUUCAGUAGUAGCCCCGCCAGGUAAUCCAGCUGAUGCACCCCUAUUUGUCAUGACAUUCUAAACCAAAUGUUUCCUGAAAGGCUUUUUAUUUUAUUUUUUUAAUGUAUUUGUAACAUUCAGAAGGAGUGCCAAGGGCCAGAUACCAGCAGGUCUGCAGGCUGGCCAAGAGGGUCUUCAGGGGCUCACGGAUCGAAAGGUAGACUGUCUGAUAGGACUGUGGCAAACACUACCGCAGCCAGAGGAGUUGUCGACACUUUCCGUCACCAGGACAGGCUCGAGCGCGGGCGGUUCAAAGCGAUUAAAGGGAAACUGCUGGAAAGGACAGUGUUCAAUGGUAUUUGGUUAAUAUAAUAAUUAUUUCAACAGUUGCCAUCCACUGCCAACACUAACAAGUAUUCUUUGUUCAAAUCUUUGUCUUUCAGUUGCUUUCUCAGACUUAACCCGGGUCCUGCUACGUGGCCAGGCGGCAGUCGCCUGGUCGAGGCCAUUUGCAGCCAGCUCUGUCACCAGCAUCCAUGCGGCCCUAAGAGGUGCAGGUGGGCGAUCCUCUUCAGUCAGAGAGGCGGUGCUGAACAGCCCAGGGUUGAUGGCCCAGACCAACACCACGGUCUAUGAGCUGAAGUCAGAGGACGGUCUAACAAUAGUAAGAUGAUGAUGAUACAUGUAGACAUUAUUAAUAAUUAGCAGCAUCAUGUUCCUGAUGGUCCUGUAGUCCUUCUGGAUGGCAGCCCACCUGUUGUCCCGCACACCAAGGACAGUCUGGCAAAGCUCCAAAAAGAAAGCCUCUACUGUGCUGCUAGUGUUGGGCCACAGGGCAGGUCCAGGUCCUUGUCCAAAUAGGGAGCUAAAAGGAUAUUAAAUUAUAAAAGACAACAUCUAUGAAGAACACAAAACACCCUGUUUAGUGAGAAAGUGAUUUCGGCACAAAGUGCAGUACUUACCGCUUCAUGCUAUCUUCCCCCUCGACUGCUGUGGUCUUUGAGGAGACUCAUCUUGUUCGCCUCUGGAAGAUUCUCUCACAGGGCGAUUAUCUCUUUGGGCAUGCCGAGUCGAGAUCGACAGCCUCUCCAAGAGUCUCAUCAGACUUUUGGCAAGGAGAACGACAUGUUGAUACCCGACAACCCCAUCAGGACUUGUGUACUCCUGGAAAUAUGAAGUGUAAUUGCAAGGGGUUGGAUUAUUGGAUAUGAAUAAGAAAAGAAAAAAAAUGACGAUGUGAGCGGUUUGUGAUGUGGAUAUGCACUUACAUCCUCCUCCAGGUCCUGACAGAUAGUAGGGGGCAAUGGAGCAGCCUUCUUGAGGUAAGGAAGAGCCUAGUCACGCUGUUCCCAAGUGUACGCUCCCUCGUCUAUUCUGACUACCUUCAGGUCACAGGACAGCCUGAUACACCAUGGGAAUUAACCGAAAAGCCAAGAUCGCUGAGAACUUGUGUCCACCUGGUUAAGGACAUCCAGUGACCAACCUGCCAACUUCUUUUCACAGGGGUUGCAUUCUAGAUAUUCCAUCCCCAUUAAAUACCAUCCAUCGAUGUCAAGCACCUUCCGGACAGUCCUGUACACCACGCAACGUGUUAGCCUGUGGCGCUUGCACUGUGGCAAACAAAGUUUGGGGCACAGGUCAUUUGAUAUUAGUAUUGAAUUAUUAGUAUUAGUACUGAAACCAAUGACAUCAGAAUAUAUACUUGCCAGAAUUAGGUGUUUUGGCUGGAGUUUCGUCUCUGCACUGGAGAUAGACCUUGAAGUGAGCCAUUGAUGUUCCCUCUUCACUUUGCCCUUCUGGAAGCAGGUCAUAUAGCUGUAUUAAAAACAAACAAAAAUGUACACACUAACAGUCAAAAGUUUUUUUCCAGUUUGGCUGAGGUCAUGGGACAGAAACUCACUCCUUCAUAAACACUGUGUCCUGUCUUUAAUUUACUACAUUUCUUGCAGUACUAUACUUUGCUGGGCUUGUGCACACAGACUGUUUGAAGAAACAGACAGAUAUUCCUUGUAUCUUGUGUACCCCAAAGCCAACAAGGUGUAGGUGUCCCUGAUCACGUUAAGGGAGUGAGGUUCCACCUCUACUGCCCUCUGGGAACAGGCUGCCAUACCUGUUCAGGUGGUUGAGAUAAUGCUAUAUAAUGUGUUGCAAUGUGGAUUGAUUUACGGUGUGUACGUGUCAUCAUACAAGAUACUUAUUUCCAUUAAAACAUUUACCAAUUUAAGCAGUCCUGGUUUGCCAUCUUGGGAGACAACUAUGUCUUUACUAGCUGUCUCAUUAAGUACAUCAGAUUGAACUGUACAAUAUGGAUUGUUUGAGUCUAAGCUUUGUGAAU
ensembl:lncRNA